GCACUCUUAUUUCUCUUCAGAUCGCAUAAAUCUUUCGCCUUUUACUAAAGAUUUCCGUGGAGAGGAACAACAAGAGUUUUACUCAAUUUUUAGAUGCCUUGCUUUACGGCGAGGCU
ensembl:snRNA U5 U5 spliceosomal RNA